AGUGAACGCUGGCGGUAGGCCUAACACAUGCAAGUCGAACGGCAGCACAGUAAGAGCUUGCUCUUACGGGUGGCGAGUGGCGGACGGGUGAGGAAUACAUCGGAAUCUACUUUUUCGUGGGGGAUAACGUAGGGAAACUUACGCUAAUACCGCAUACGACCUACGGGUGAAAGCAGGGGAUCUUCGGACCUUGCGCGAUUGAAUGAGCCGAUGUCGGAUUAGCUUGUUGGCUGGGUAAAGGCCCACCAAGGCGACGAUCCGUAGCUGGUCUGAGAGGAUGAUCCGCCACACUGGAACUGAGACACGGUCCAGACUCCUACGGGAGGCAGCAGUGGGGAAUAUUGGACAAUGGGAGCCAGCCUGAUCCAGCCAUCCCGCGUGGGUGAAGAAGGCCUUCGGGUUGUAAAGCCCUUUUGUUGGGAAAGAACAGCAGCAGGUUAAUCCCCCGCUGUUCUGACGGUACCCAAAGAAUAAGCACCGGCUAACUUCGUG
rnacentral:rRNA from 1 species